rnacentral:rRNA from 1 species
AGUGAACGCUGGCGGUAGGCCUAACACGUGCAAGUCGAACGGCAGCACAGUAAGAGCUUGCUCUUACGGGUGGCGAGUGGCGGACGGGUGAGGAAUACAUCGGAAUCUACUUUUUCGUGGGGGAUAACGUAGGGAAACUUACGCUAAUACCGCAUACGACCUACGGGUAAAAGCAGGGGAUCUUCGGACCUUGCGCGAUUGAAUGAGCCGAUGUCGGAUUAGCUAGUUGGCGGGGUAAAGGCCCACCAAGGCGACGAUCCGUAGCUGGUCUGAGAGGAUGAUCAGCCACACUGGAACUGAGACACGGUCCAGACUCCUACGGGAGGCAGCAGUGGGGAAUAUUGGACAAUGGGCGCAAGCCUGAUCCAGCCAUACCGCGUGGGUGAAGAAGGCCUUCGGGUUGUAAAGCCCUUUUGUUGGGAAAGAAAAGCAGCAGGUUAAUACCCCGCUGUUCUGACGGUACCCAAAGAAUAAGCACCGGCUAACUUCGUG